rnacentral:lncRNA from 1 species
UCCUUUCCUCGAUCUCUCGGCCACCUCCUCCUCCUUCUCCGAUCUUUUUUUUUUCCCUCCUCCCACUGUCUUCUCUACGGUUUAAUCAAAGUUCAGCUACUCCACUUGCCUCUCCUCUCAUUUCUUUCGGAAAGGGGAAACCAGACGACCCAGCGGCCACGGGACGAGUCACCCCAACUCAACCCCAGCAGGACGCUGGAGGGGCCUCCCUUGCCCACCUCUCUUCGCUAGCACUGGCCUCCCGCACCUGGGUCUGCAGUCCCUCCGCCAUCUCACAAGUGUGCAGCCGCUAGGCCUGGGGGAUCCGAAUGACUGGGGCUGGAUAGGAAUGCCUUCGUGUUUCCCAAGACCCCCGGGCCUGCUCCACAAAGUUUGAAGGGUGGGUACACCCCGACCCAGGCAAGUUACUCCCCCAAACCCAUGACUGACUAAUCUGAUAUGACAAAAGCCCAUGAUGGAUUUGGUAUAUGUUAAUUCACAAUGCCCUUUCCUCCAGAAUUUAACUAUAAGUUAAUACACACCGGAAACCAUGCGCAUACACUCUCCUUAAUGGGCUUAGUAAUGUAUUAGUGAGUCCUAACGAUGCAUACAAAUGUGCUCUGCGCUCUGUAGACCCCUCAAGAUUUAUGGGCCUUGAGCUCUCUGAAGCUGUAAACAAGGAGAAAAAAAAAAGAGAAAGCGAAAGCGACUGGGGGGAAGAGACAGAGGCCUGACUCGCCCCUCCAGGUUUUGGAGAGAAGGGAUUCUUUAUGUAUUUUCCUUUCCUUGCAAGCUCGGAGCCCCUGUUUUAAGAAGGAGGCCAAAUGUGCAGGCUCAGGCCAAGCAGCAGAGAUGAAUGAGGUGAUGACCACAGCCUUGAUCCGGCAGGAGCUCAGAGAUGCCCGGGAAGACGGGGGGCCCGAAUGGAAGCAGAAAAACACUUAUGGCCGCUGGGAAGUUGGGAGAGCCAGGCUGGGGCUCCGGCAGGCCCAGGGAAAGUUCCCUUUCUAGGCUCUUUAUUAAAAAAUUUAAAAGGAGGAGUUGAGGCGCCUUGAAUUUUCCUUCGCGAGUUUGGAGACCAGCCGAUUUUUCAUGAAGCAAGCAAGGGCCGCGGUCCCGGAUCCUGCAACAUAUACCUCAUUUUCUCCAGGCCUCUCCACUUGCCCGAGCUCUCAGCCACCAGGAGACAGACGGAAGGGGCUUCUGGGCUGUGUUGGGAGCGGGCAUUGUCCCCUACCCACUCCUGCACAGUUUCCCAAAGUCCAGCGACCUCCGACCCUCCUUGGGGAAAAAAAUACCAGUACCCAGACACCUCUGCACCCUGUUAUAUGACUGGGCUUGCUUCAGGAAUAUCUUACAAAGAAGAAGAAGGAGGAGGAACGGCUUGGAGUCAUGUUUACAUCUAGUUCUACUGAUCCGUUCACAUCUGGAGAGUUUAUUUAUAACUCCCUCUAUAACUCUCUGUUUGGAGGCACUGGUGGCUCUACUGACAGACUGAUGUCUAGGAAAUAUUGCUCUAUGUCUAAUGGUACCUAAAUGUGCUGUGGUUGUAUUUACAGAUUUACGUUUGAGGGAAAUAUAAUUAUUUCCAUUGUA